AACGAACGCUGGCGGCAUGCCUAACACAUGCAAGUCGAACGAGACCUUCUGGUUUAGGUGCGGACGGGUGCUGAACGCCUGGGAACCUGCCCUUAGGUUCGGAAUCACUCACUGAAAGGGGUUCUAAUACCGCAUAAGGUCUUCGGACCAAAGAUUUAUUGCGUCUGGGUGGGCGCUCGUUGGUUUAGCGAGUUGGUAGGGUAAAAGCAUAUCAUGGCGUCGAUCCAUAGCUGGUGUGAGAGGAUGAUCAGCCACACUGGGCCUGAGACACGGCCCAGACUCGUACGGGAGAGAGCAGUGGAGAAUAUUGGAAAAGGGGCGAAAGUCUGAUACAGCAGUGCCGCGGAAGUGAUGAAGGCCUUAGGGUUGUAAAGCUGUUUUACCCGAGAUGAUAAUGACGGUACCGGGAGAAUAAGCACCGGCUAACUCCGUG
rnacentral:rRNA from 1 species